AUUGAACGCUGGUGGCAUGCCUUACACAUGCAAGCCGAACGGCAGCAUGAUCUAGCUUGCUAGAUUGAUGGCGAGUGGCGAACGGGUGAGUAAUACAUCGGAACGUGCCCUGUAGUGGGGGAUAACUAGUCGAAAGAUUAGCUAAUACCGCAUACGACCUGAGGGUGAAAGUGGGGGACCGCAAGGCCUCAUGCUAUAGGAGCGGCCGAUGUCUGAUUAGCUAGUUGGUGAGGUAAAGGCUCACCAAGGCGACGAUCAGUAGCUGGUCUGAGAGGACGAUCAGCCACACUGGGACUGAGACACGGCCCAGACUCCUACGGGAGGCAGCAGUGGGGAAUUUUGGACAAUGGGCGAAAGCCUGAUCCAGCAAUGCCGCGUGUGUGAAGAAGGCCUUCGGGUUGUAAAGCACUUUUGUCCGGAAAGAAAUGGCUCUGGUUAAUACCUGGGGUCGAUGACGGUACCGGAAGAAUAAGGACCGGCUAACUACGUG
rnacentral:rRNA from 1 species